rnacentral:rRNA from 1 species
AUGCAAGUCGAACGGUAGCACAGAGGAGCUUGCUCCUUGGGUGACGAGUGGCGGACGGGUGAGUAAUGUCUGGGGAUCUGCCCGAUGGAGGGGGAUAACUACUGGAAACGGUAGCUAAUACCGCAUAACGUCGCAAGACCAAAGUGGGGGACCUUCGGGCCUCACACCAUCGGAUGAACCCAGAUGGGAUUAGCUAGUAGGUGGGGUAACGGCUCACCUAGGCGACGAUCCCUAGCUGGUCUGAGAGGAUGACCAGCCACACUGGAACUGAGACACGGUCCAGACUCCUACGGGAGGCAGCAGUGGGGAAUAUUGCACAAUGGGCGCAAGCCUGAUGCAGCCAUGCCGCGUGUAUGAAGAAGGCCUUCGGGUUGUAAAGUACUUUCAGCGGGGAGGAAGGUGGUGAGGUUAAUAACCUCAUCAAUUGACGUUACC